CCAUGCCCCAUCCCGGCCCAUCCCGGUAACUUCGGGACGGUGCCGCUGCGAUCCCGAUUGAUCGGUUCGGGUUUCUCCAUCUCAGGCAGCCUCAGGUUUAAUGUGAAAAGCUGCGAGGUUUGCUCGGCUGGUGAUCAGCUGUUCUGGAUGAAAAAGCUCCCGGAAGGUGCCAGCCCGUACUUCAUCUGAAGAAGAAAAUGAAAUUGUAAGAAUGUGGUCCCCAGGAUGAGGUGAGAGAUGAGAAUCUGACUCCAUGUUCUCAGAAGGAGGGAAGCGAUCAGGCUCCUGCUUUGAAUCCAAACUGAAGAAAAGCAGAAUCUGAAUGGCAAAAAUGUCAUGAUCAACAAACCCAAAAGUUAAAUAAUGAAGCAAAGAGAAGUUGUACACACCACAUGUACCAGCCGUUAAACUGCUGGGGAUCCUCUUGUUCCUAUGUUUGUAACACCUGUGACAGAAUCUGGCAUCCUGUGUCACAAGAAAAUUGACUUCAUGCUACCUAGUGGUAGCUUGAGGUGCAAAGGGCCACUUUGUGCCAGUGGAGACUGGUGGCACACCACGGUGGUAUGAGGAAAAGAAUCUCAUCUCCAUUUUUCAGGUUUAUUUCUAUACUGACCUACCACCGUCGGUUCCAAGUCCACCAUUACAGCCCGUGGCACGUGCUUCCCAGUGGCUGUUUCGUUGAAAAAUGUGGUAAAAGAGUCAUCAGAGCUGAGUUUGUCCUGCUGGUCCUUGAAGGUGCCAUCAGGCUGAAUGCCAUGCUCCAGGCAGAAGAGUUCCCAGCACGUGUUUCCUAUCUGCACUCCAGCCUGGCCAACGUGAACAGAGAUGCACUCACGCUGAGGAGAGAGAGGAGACAGGGUCAGAAAAAUCAGUGUACCUUAGCCCUCCCUAUUCCUGAUGGUUACCUCUUCCCAGUGUAUUGCUUUUCCAAAAAAUCAGUGCAUUGUCACUGUCAGCUGUUUGUUUGGUUGUUCAGCCCCAUGAGCACCAUGAGACUGCACAUGCCAGAUACUGGGACAGUGUGGUAUUUUCAGGGCUCCCCGAUGAAGGGAGGAAAUGAUGAAUCCGACUCCAUGUUCUUAGAAGGCUAAUUUAUUAUUUUAUGAUAUGAUAUUAUAUUAUAUUAAAGAAUGCUAUACUAAACUAUACUAAAGAAUAGAGAAAGGAUACUUACAGAAGGCUAAACAAGAUACUAAUUAAAAACUCGUAGCUCUCUCCUCACAGUCCAACACAGCCUAACUGUGAUUGGUCAUUAAGUCAAAACAAUCCACAUAUUGCAUAAACAAUCUCCAACCACAUUCCAAAGCAGCAAAACAGAAGCAAAGGUGAUAAUAUUGUUUCCCUUUUUCUCUGAGGCUUCUCAGCUUCCCAGGAGAAGAAUCCUGAGCAAAGAGGAUUUUUCAGAAAAUAUGACGGUGGCACGACAGCUCUUUAAAAAAUUGAGAUCUGUGUGCUGUACUACAGAAGUAUAUUGAAACAGUCAGGAAAAAUGUAUUUCAAUUACACAAACCCCACCAUUCUUCCUGGAUUUGCCUUGCUGAGGAGCACAUCCCAGUUUAGUUUAUUUUUACUCCUGGCUGGAACCUGACACAGCCAUGUGGCAUCCCUCACCCUUAUGUAACCCAAGGCAGAUUGUCUUUUGAUCCUUCUACCCUCUGAUAGCAGGCUAGAGUGGAAAUUUGGAAGAGCUGCUUUCACCUAAGGAAAUUAUUCCAGAUUUUCUUGGUCAAAAUAAAAUUUCCUUCCAGCUUCUGAGCAGCCACUAAUUUUACUAAUUUUACUAAUUUUACAUCAUGGGUCCAUUGCUGGUCAGGCAGUGCCAUUGUAGUGAAGUAUAUUUGCAUCAUUUCCAGUAUUGUUUCUGUGGCAGCCAGGAAGAGAAAACUGUGUAACACCAGCCUAAAGUAGGCAGGUGUCAAUUGCUCCAAAAUCCUGUGCACUCAAAAGUACUGCUUUUAAAAAGCCCUGCUGCUGGAUUUCAUAAGUUCACAAACAAUCAUAAAGCAAAUGCUUCUGGGUUAGUCCCAGCAGUUGCAACACUGGGUGUAGUGAAAGGCAUUUUUUUGAGGAGAGAGUGGUUUCAGGCAUGUGGAUUUUUUUCAGAUUUGGUUUCUGCUUUGGAGCAAUUAAAGCUGCCUGAGCUCUGGUUUUGUGAUCCCCAGGGCCCUGUCUAUACUAGGGAGUAAAAAAAAGUCAGGACAUAGUACUGAACACUGGCCAGUGAUCUCCUGUGCUGCUUGAUAAUUCCAAAAAAUUGGCAGAAUUUUGGCUUAGGCCAGUUAAAAUUUUUCCAGACAAUGCUUGGGCACCAUGCAGAACACAACUCAUUGUCAAGAAUGGUUUCCAGUGAGCAGCUCACUGACCACUGCCAGGCUUUGGAGAGGGAAGGAGAACUGAGAUGCCCAGCUGUGAAGCAGGCCUGGCUUUAAGGGCAGAGGAUGGUCCUCACUCAUUCUUGUUUUGUAAUAUUGCAUUUAGAGAUAACCAGUGGCACUGUCAGAUUUGACCAGUUAUUUUUUUUUUUUAAUUAAAUUCUGUAACUGCUUACCCAGCAAAAUCAUUCUGUGAUCUGAGAAUUAAAUGUAUCCUUCCCAAAAACUAAAUUUUCAGUCACAAUGUGUGACCAGCAGCAUCUCUGGAGCAGUGUUUUCUUCACAAAUUGACAUAAAUUUGUGUUUAAGAAACAUAACUGAAGACAUUUUUUCAGAAGCAACUAGAAUUUCAAAAGUCAUCACUGCCCAACUAGUCAUCCCCAGAAUUCAAAUAAACAUGAAAGCUCUUUAAAUCUUUUAUUCAAUGCAAUAAAUUAUUUCUAUUCAGUCCUAAUUUCUAAACUGAAAGUUUUUGCUGACUCUGCAAAUGCAUGUGCUCUCAAGUGUACUUGCACAAUCCUAUUUUUGCUGUGCAUAACUGAGUUGUGCAAAAGUCUCUGAGUGAUUUGAGUGACAGUGGGGCUUCAAAAGUCAGCGUGUUGCAAUCUGGAAGAUUACUCAGGAGACACCAAAGGCAUAUUUGGGCUUAGAGAAUUCAAUCAAUGCUGACUUUCCACAGGGCAGGCUCCUGCCUUUUCUUUCAAAUCCCACUGUGAAUCUGUGAGGCUGGCAGGCAGCAAGAAAAAUAAGGGUUUCUUUUCUUUUCCAACACAGCAAUGAGGCCAGCUGGCUUUUUAAAACAAUAUCUUUUAAAGCAAAACUACAAUUACAAGUCAAGCAGUAUUUUAAAAUAAGGGCUGCUUUGCUCAUUUCUUCAGGUCUGUAGAGGAAUUGGUCUGUUUUUUCACAGAUAGAACAAGUAAAUGCUGUCUUAAGAAGUUAAGAUUGUAAAGCUUCAUAUAGGACUGGGGUUGAAGACUUUUCAGACUGAGUCUUCAGCUGCACUAGUUUGAAACCACAUCUCAACCCUGCUUUUUGAGCCAUUUCAUCUCCUCCUUCCCCAGCAGUAAUUUGGAAAUAUUCUGCCAAAGAGAGAAGACAGUGAGAAAGAGGUUUCUGACUUUGAAUAGUGAACAGCAUUAAAACAGAUGCCAGACUUUUAGCAGGGAAGAGCGUGGGCCUUCAGCGUCACAGCCAGAGUAAACUGAUCUUUACGUGAUAUUUUAAUUUGGAGCCAUUUCCAAACUCAUGUUUCACAUCCCACCAUUUAAAUGUCUGUAGACCCAGGACAGGUCUAACAAAGAAACAGUAGAAAGGACCAGAUCCUUUGUGAAACUACACCUGGGACAGCUUUGACUCUUAAAAAACCAAUCUCUCUCCAGGAUUUACUGCAAAAGGGAGACUUUAGUCUUCCAGCUGUUCCACAAACUCUCUCACUUCCCUAGGUCUGGGAAGCCCCUGGAAGUAUUUUGCCUAUGAGAUGAGCUGGCAGACAGUAACAUAGUUCCUCCUCUGCACCAAAAUUAGACUCAGUGCUAGAGAUAUAAUGGGGUCCAAGGUGAAAUGGAUUUUUUCACAUUUUAAGAGGUUUUGAGAUAUUUCUAUGAAUUUAUAACAAUCCACCAAAACUUAAAAACAAAGGGCACUUUUUCACUUACUAAAUACAUACAUAUAUAAAAGAAUUCAUGGACUCCAGAAACACACAUGCAUACCCUGUAUAGAUAUGGACAGUAUAGCCAUUGGGGCUAAAUUAAUUUGAAACAGACACAAAGGUAAAUAACUUUUUUGGUUUAUUUCUAAAAAUAAAAUUGUCUCGUAUGAAAA